CAGAUGUGGAUCAGCGUCUCCUCUGCUCUUCCUCCUGAACGCCUCCUUCUCCUCAGAUGUGGAUAAGCGCCUCCUUCUCCUCGGACGUGGAUCAGUGUCUCCUUCUCAGACGAGGACCAGUGUCUCCUUCUCCUCAGACAUGGAUCAGCGUCUCCUCUGCUCUUCCUCCUCUUGACAUCCAAGAAGCAAACUGGGCCAAACUGAUCAAAGUUUGUAAAUCACUGUUUACUCGGAUGUAGAUUAUGAAUAAACGUGUGUUUAUCACACAGCUGUGGCUGCAGCAGGCAAGUUCUUUACCAGACCUUUGAUGACACGGUCAGGAGCAACGUGGGAUUCAGUAUCUUGCCCCCUGAGCUGGGAAUCAAAACCACAACCUUCCAGUCACACACAAGAACAACCUGUAACAUGAAUAGUGAAACUUUCCAGUAAAGAAGCACAAAAAUCAGGGGCGCUCACAGUACAGUCAGCACUGACUGUCCACCACUACCUCAUACAAUGACACUUGAAAAAAAAAUACCUGAACUACCCCUUUAACAUCAUGUGAUCAUAAUGGUGGUGAAUUGCCCUGAAUCAUCAGUGAAUAAUCGAGCAAUGAAUUAAUAAAUAAAUGAAUCAAUAAA